CUACGGGUCGCAGCAGUGGGGAAUCUUGGACAAUGGGGGCAACCCUGAUCCAGCGAUGCCGUGUGUGUGAAGAAGGCCUGCGGGUUGUAAAGCACUUUAGCCAGUGAGGAUUGUCACAUUAUUGAAUAGAUAAUGUGAUUGACGUUAGCUGGAAAAUAAGCACCGGCAAACUCUGUGCCAGCAGCCGCGGUAAUACAGAGGGUGCAAGCGUUAAUCGGACUGACUGGGCGUAAAGGGUCUGUAGGUGGUUGUCUAGGUGGGAUGUGAAAUACCAGAGCUUAACUUUGGAGCGUCAUCUCAAACGGGACAACUGGAGCAUAAGAGAGGGCAGUGGAAUUUCCGGUGUAGCAGUGAAAUGCGUAGAGAUCGGAAGGAACACCAGUGGCGAAGGCGACUGCCUGGCUUAUUGCUGACACUGAGGGACGAAAGCGUGGGGAGCGAACAGGAUUAGAUACCCCGGUAGUC
rnacentral:rRNA from 1 species